rnacentral:rRNA from 1 species
GGAUGCCUUGGCAUCAGGAGACGAUGAAGGGCGUGGCAAGCUGCGAUAAGCCUCGGUGAGCCGCAAGCAGGCUGUGAUCCGGGGAUUCCCGAAUGGGGCAACCCAGACGAUUAAUGCCGUCUAUUCACCGCUGAAUUCAUAGGCGGAUGAAAGGUAACGCAGGGAAGUGAAACAUCUCAGUACCUGCAGGAGUAGAAAUCAAUUGAGAUUCCCUUAGUAGUGGCGAGCGAAACGGGAAUAGCCCAAACCUUGUUUAUGUCAAGCCCGUGUGCGUUGUAGACAAGGGGUUGUAGGACUUCACUAGACGACAAUACGGUGCCGUCGACAAGUCAAAAACCAAAUUCUUAGCUGAAUGGUUUGGAAAAUCCAGCCAAAGAAGGUGAAAGCCCUGUAUGCGAAAAGAAUUUGGCUUGUUGAGUGAGGAACCUGAGUACCGCGGGGCUCGUGAAACCCUGUGGGAAUCCGGGAGGACCACCUUCCAAGGCUAAAUACUCCCUGAUGACCGAUAGUGAACCAGUACCGUGAGGGAAAGGCGAAAAGAACCCCGGUGAGGGGAGUGAAAUAGAACCUGAAACCGUAUACCUACAAGCAGCGAGAGGGCUAUGGUCCGCAAGGAUAAUGCCUGAUCGUGUGCCUUUUGCUUAAUGAGCCGGCGAGUUAUUCUGCGUAGCAAGGUUAAGUUGAAAAGACGGAGCCGUAGCGAAAGCGAGUCUGAAUAGGGCGUCUAGUUACGUAGAAUAGACCCGAAGCGAGGUGAUCUACCCAUGGCCAGGGUGAAUCCGCUGUAACAGGCGGAGAAGGCCCGAACCGGUGUAUGUUGCAAAAUGCUCGGAUGAGCUGUGGGUAGGAGUGAAAGGCUAAUCAAACCUCGUGAUAGCUGGUUCUCUCCGAAAUAGCUCUAGGGCUAGCCUCGUAUGAACCGUGGCGGAGGUAGAGUACUGGAUGGGCUAGGGGUGGUCAAACACUACCGAACCCAACCAAACUCCGAAUGCCGCUACUGGCUAUACGGGAGUCAGACUAUGGGUGCUAAGGUCCGUGGUCAAAAGGGAAACAGCCCAGACCGCCAGCUAAGGUCCCUAAUGUAGGCUAAGUGGGAAAGGUUGUGGGAACGCUCAGACAGCCAGGAGGUUGGCUUAGAAGCAGCCAUCCUUUAAAGAGUGCGUAAUAGCUCACUGGUCGAGUGGGCCUGCGCCGAAAAUGUAACGGGGCUCAAGCUUACAACCGAAGCUGCGGAUUUUUAUCGAAAGAUAGAAGUGGUAGGAGAGCAUUCUCUAGGAGUUGAAGGUUGACCGACAAGGACAGCUGGAUUCUAGAGAAGAGAUUAUGCCGGCAUAAGUAGCGAUAAACGAUGUGAGAAUCAUCGUCCCCGAAAACCUAAGGUUUCCUGGUCAAUGUUCGUCAGAUCAGGGUUAGUCGGGUCCUAAGGCGAGGCCGAAAGGCGUAGUCGAUGGAAAACAGGUUAAUAUUCCUGUACCGCCAUGGUUGCGUUAUUAACUAAGGGGGGACGCAGAGAGGUAAGCACCGCCGGGUCCCUGGAAUACCCGGUCCAAGCGGGUAGGUGGGGUCUGUAGGCAAAUCCGCAGACCUAUUAACACUGAGACGUGAUGGGGAGGCCGUAAGGCCACAAACGGGCUGAUCCUGCACUGCCGAGAAAAUCCUCGUAGUGAGUGUCUAUGGUGUCCGUACCGCAAACCGACACAGGUAGGUAGGUGGAAAACACUAAGGGGCGUGAGAGAACUCUCCCUAAGGAACUCUGCAAUUUAGCCCCGUAACUUCGGGAUAAGGGGUGCCUCGAUUAGGUAAGAAGAUUUACUUUUCAAGCCGAACGAGGUCGCAGUAAAAUGGCUCUAGCGACUGUUUACCAAAAACACAGGACUCUGCUAACUCGUAAGAGGAGGUAUAGGGUCUGAUGCCUGCCCGGUGCUGGAAGGUUAACUGGAGGUGUUAGCCGUAAGGCGAAGCUCCGAAUGGAAGCCCCAGUAAACGGCGGCCGUAACUAUAACGGUCCUAAGGUAGCGAAAUUCCUUGUCGGGUAAGUUCCGACCUGCACGAAUGGCGUAACGAAUUCCACACUGUCUCCAAUGCAGACUCAGCGAAACUGAAUUCUCCGUGAAGAUGCGGAGUACCCGCGGUUAGACGGAAAGACCCCGUGCACCUUUACUACAGCUUUGCAGUGGUAUUAG